rnacentral:rRNA from 1 species
UGACCUCGGAUCAGGUAGGACUACCCGCUGAACUUAAGCAUAUCAAUAAGCGGAGGAAAAGAAACCAACAGGGAUUGCCCCAGUAACGGCGAGUGAAGCGGCAACAGCUCAGAUUUGGAAUCUGGCCCCCAGGGCCCGAGUUGUAAUCUGGAGAGGAUGUUUCUGGCGCGGCGCCUUCCGAGUUCCCUGGAACGGGACGCCGGAGAGGGUGAGAGCCCCGUACGGUUGGACGCCAAGCCUUUGUGAAGCUCCUUCGACGAGUCGAGUAGUUUGGGAAUGCUGCUCAAAAUGGGAGGUAAAUUUCUUCUAAAGCUAAAUACCGGCCAGAGACCGAUAGCGCACAAGUAGAGUGAUCGAAAGAUGAAAAGCACUUUGAAAAGAGGGUCAAACAGUACGUGAAAUUGUUGAAAGGGAAGCGCCCGUGGCCAGACUUGCGCCCUGCGGAUCAUCCGUCGGCUUUACCGGCGGUGCACUCCGCUGGGCGCAGGCCAGCAUCGGUUCUUCUAGGGGGAUAAAGGCGGCGGGAACGUGGCUCCCAUUGGGAGUGUUAUAGCCCGUCGUGCCAUGCCCCUGGGGGGACCGAGGACCGCGCUUCGGCAAGGAUGCUGGCGUAAUGGCCACCGGCGACCCGUCUUGAAACACGGACC